rnacentral:rRNA from 1 species
CAGUAGCCGCGGGAAAACGAAGGGUGCAAGCGUUAAUCGGAAUUACUGGGCGUAAAGCGCACGUAAGCGGCUUGGUAAGUUAGAGGUGAAAGCCCGGAGCUCAACUCCGGAAUUGCCUUUAAGACUGCCGAGCUAGUAGGUGAGGGAGGUAAGUGGAAUUCCGAGUGUAGAGGUGAAAUUCGUAGAUAUUCGGAAGAACACCAGUGGCGAAGGCGGCUUACUGGCUCAUUCUAGACGCUGAGGUGCGAAAGCGUGGGGAGCAAACAGGAUUAGAUACCCCUGUAGUCCCUGUCUCUUAUAC